rnacentral:lncRNA from 1 species
AGUGUGAGCGAUGAAAACAGCGUUGGCGCAGCACAGCUCAUUGAUCAGACGAUGAACAUCAGAUAGCAGACUGCAGCUCCAGCUCGAAAACAUCAUCACAUCCGUUCUUGUGAACUCCUCUCUCGAGUUCGAAGUAUCGGCAUUGUAAAUGGUUCAGCAGGACAGCAGGUUCAGGACAGCCCAAUCGAUGCUGCCCAGGCAAGCGGCAGUGACCCUCCUUCUAGAGCGAAUAGAGAAAGGCCACAGUCUGAAUGGUCUUUCCGAGGCCCAUCUCAUCGGCUAGAAUGGUGUCGAUGGCCGGUCGAGGCUCUUCAGGUACUUUAUCCGAUUUUGAGAUAUUUUAAUUAGUAUUGAUUCAAGUUCAUCCCACCGUAGUGUGAGCGAUGAAAACAGCGCUGGCGCAGCACAGCUCAUUGAUCAGACGAUGAACAUCAGACAGCAGAUUGCAGCUCCAGCUCGAAAACAUCAUCACAUCCGUUCUUGUGAACUCUUCUCUCGAGUUCGAAGUAUCGGCAUUGUGGAUGGUUCAGCAGAACAGCAGGUUCAGGACAGCCCAAUAGAUGCUGCCCAGGCAAGCGGCAGUGACCCUCCUUCUAGAGCGAAUAGAGAAAGGCCACAGUCUGAAUGGUCUUGCCGAGGCCCAUCUCAUCGGCUAGAAUGGUGUCGAUGGC